AACUAUCAAAUUUAUCCUUCCCACUCUCUUUCCCCCAGUAACCAUAAGAUUAUUUACUAUGUCUGCGAGUCUGUUUCUGUUUUGUAAAUGGAUAGUGUCCUCAUUUUUCUUUUCUUUUUUUUUUUUAAUUCCACAUAUCAGUGAUAUCAGAUGGUAUUUUUCUUUCUCUUUCUGGCUUACUUCACUUAGAAUGAUGAUCUCCAGGUCCAUUCAUGUUGCUGCAAAUGGCAUUAUUUUAUUCGUUUUUAUGGCUGAGUAGUAUUCCACUGUGUAAAUAUACCACAACUUCUUUAUCCAUUCAUCUGUUAAUGGACAUUUAGGUUGCUUCCAUGUAUUGGCUAUUGUAUAUAGUGGUGCUAUGAAUAUUGAGGUGCAUUUAUCUUUUCAAAUUAAGAGUUCCCUCUGGAUAUAUGCCCAGGAGUGGGAUUGCUGGAUCAUAAGGAAAAGAAGAUACUGCUAGCUAACUGUUUCUACACCAAGAACAGCAAUGGUGGUGGUGAAUCAUAAUGGAGGCUAGACUAUGAGUAGCAUCCAGUGUUACAGCAGGGGACUGAACUGACUAAGCAGAAAUCAAAACUAACCAUCAAACAAAAUACCUAAGCACUACAAGCUUCACCAAGAACUAACAAACAUCUUCUGUCUGGGUGACUGCGUGUCCUGAGGGUGGAAUGCCAAAAGCUGAAUUCUCAGCAUUUUCUUCCUGGAGUUGUGAUCCCAAAUCAAUAUUCAUCUGUUUGCCUUAACUAUUGCCGAGCAAACAGCUGUACCACAUAAAAUUACCUCGUUCGAAGACGAAGUGGAGGCAAAAAGUUCCAGCUCAGAACAUAUGCACUGAUACUGUAGGAAAGGGAGGAGUGAUAAAUAUAAUAAUUAAGCUUAUAAGCUUUUGCACAGCAAAGGAAAGCAAAACAAAAAGACAACCUACAGAAUGGGAGAAAAUAUUUGCAAAUGAUACAACUGACAAAAACUUAAUUUCCAGAACAUAUAAACAGCUCAUACAACUUAAUAGAAAUAAACAAUCUAAAAAUGGGCAGAAGAACUAAGCAAGCAAUUCUCCAGUGAAGACAUAUAAAUGGCUGAUAGGUAGAUGAAAAGAUGCUCAGUAUCACUAAUGAUCAGAGAAAUGCAAAUCAAAACUACAGUGAGGUAUCACCUCACACCAGUCAGAAUGGCCAUCAUUCAAAAGUCCAUGAACGAUAAAUGCUGGAGAGGCUGUGUAGAAAAGGGAACCCUCCUACACUGCUGGUGGGAAUGCAAUUUGAUGUAGCCAUUAUGGAAAACAGUAUAGAGAUUUCUCAAAAAAGUAAAAAUAGACUUACCUUACAAUCCAGCAAUCCCAUUCCUGGGCAUAUGUCCAGAGGGAACUCACUGCAAAAAGAUACAUGCACCCCAAUGUUCAUAGCAGCACUAUAUACAACAGCCAAGAAAUGAAAGUAACCUAAAUAUCUAUGGACAUACGACUGGAUAAAGAAGUUGUGGGGGGUGUUUGUGUGUGUGUGUAUAAUGGAAUACUACUCAAUGAUAAAAAAUAAUGCCAUUUGCAGAGCGUCAUCUAAGUGAAGUAAGCCAGAAAGAGAAAAAUACCAUAUCACUCAUAUGUGAAAUCUAAAAAAAGAAAGAAAAAGACACUAAUGAACUCACCUACAAAACAGAAACAGACUCACAGACACAGUAAACUUAUGGUUACUUGGGGGAAGGGGAAGGGAUACAUUUGGGAGCUUGAGAGUUGUAAAUGUUAGCCACUAUAUAUAAAAAUAGGUUUAAAAAAUUCAAAUAACACACUUCAGAAAAAAUAAUUCUACCCAGACAACAGGAAACAUUUCACACAAAUACAUCUCCAUACCCUUAAACAAACCUCUCCUUUAGAAAAAAAUUCUAACAUAAAAUGAAAUGUAAAGGAUAAAGGAGAUUGAAAAUAGUGAUUAAAAAAGAGAGAAGGCACAGUAGCAGAUAAAAUAGGAACCAGCAAACCACAGAAAAUGUAGAAAUGAAGCAAUCAAACCACUACACUAAUGUAAACUACAUUUGAACCAGGAAGAAAUAGAAGAAAUACUACUGAAAACAGAGAAAGGAAUAAGGACAAACACAACCAAAGUAGGAAAAACAAAAUAGUUUAAAACAUUUUAAUGAAUGUGAUUAAUGGGAUGAUAGACAUGGAAAAAACAGAAAACGAGUGGAAUUCUAAAAAGAGACUAUUUUAAAAAUUCACAAAGAACAUUUCCUGAAAUAAUAGGAGAAUUGGCUCUCUAGACCAAAAAUGCAAAAUUUGUCCCAGGAAAAGUUGAUUUAAAAUGAUGAACCCUGGCAUACGUUGAUAACAUUAUUGAACUUGAAGGCUCAGGAAAGAAACCUAUGGCAUUCAGACAGAAAAAUUAAAUUACCUGUAAAGAUGAAGCAUAAAAUAACUGGCUUCAGGGUUCUCUUCAGUAAAUGAUAUUAGCCAACAGUUGAGCAAUAUGGAGUACUCCACACAGACAUAUCCUAAAUUUUUUUAUAACACUUAUAUUUUUAUUCAUUUAAAAUAUGAAUGGGACUUCUGGUUUAAUAUGAUGAUGCAGAAAUCCUGAACUCACCUCCGUCCACAGACACACUAAAUCUAGGCUACAUGUGGAACAAUAGCCUGGAAAAAGAGAAACCAACUAGCCGAGUAACCCCUGCACGCCAGGUAAGUGAGAAGGAAAGCCUAAGAAGCGGGUGGGAGUGGCGGAGAGGCAAACUGGCCACCAGCCCACCCCCUGCACAGUGGCUCAAAUCCCCACCUUCUCCUUGAGAAGCAAAAGGUUGGAACUCCAGAUCAAGUAUUCCAACUUGUAAGCGUCCAGCUGAGAGACAAGACCCCGAACCAUCUAGUUUUGAAAGCUAACAGGGCUUGCAUCCAUGAGAACCAGAGGGCCACAGUGAGCUGAGAAACGGUCCUUACAGGGCCCUGGCACUCCAGACUCAGCUGUCCUACCGCCCAGUACGGAGGCAGGCAUCUUCUUUAACCCACAUUUAGGAGCCUGCUGAAAUACUCUCCGGGGGUGGAGUUUGGCAGGUGCCAAGUUUAUCCUCUCCCUCUACUCACUCCAGCUCACUGGUGUCUUCCAGAAGGAGCUUGUACCCUUGCUGGCACCCUCAUUUUUGUGGCUGCUACCCAAGGGACAUCCCUAUGUCACCCGGCUCUGGUGGCCAGAGAGGCAUAGGCUCUCGGGUCCCCUAGGACUAUAACAAACUGAGAAAGAAUUCUUAGCUAUCAUCACCAGGGCACAGCAAGAGGCAGCAAACAGAAAUGCCCAGUCUUUCUAUGAAAGAUGCCUAUUAGCUAAUACUCACAGCUGCUGUCGAGAGGCAGGGUUCUAAUUAAAUACAUAUCUAAGAGCCAACUUUAAUCCUUUCCAGAGACCCUAGAGGGUGGGCAGUAUCUUUGUCCUCUCCCUCUGCCAUGCUCCAGCCAGCCAGUACCUCUCAGAAGGGAGCCUGUACACAUGCCCCGGUUGUGCAGGUGCUGCCCAGGGGCUGCUGCUUGAUCGUUUGUGGUGGCCAUUGGGGCUCGAAUUCAUGAGUCUUGUGUCACUGUAACAAAGGGAAAGACAGUUCCUGGCUGGCUACCACCCCCAUGGCAGCACAGGCAGCAGACUGAAACAUACCCAAAGUCUAUGAAAGAGGACCACUAGCUUGACCUGGAGCUUCUGCCUGAAGGGCAGGCUUCUCCUUUGACACACAACUAGGUGCCAUCCAGGGACGAAAGCUAUUCGGUACCAUCUUUGUGCUCUUUCUCUGCAUUACAACAGCUCACCAUUAUCUCACAGAAAGCAGCUUGUGCACACUUCUGACACCCAAUUUUUGUGGCUGCCACCCAGGGAACACCUCUAAAUGACGUAGGUCUGGUUUCCAGUGAGACUUGUGCUUGCAAGGAGCCAAGAGUGUACAGUGGAGAAAAGGACAGUCUCUUCAGUAAGUGCUGUUGGGAAAACUGGACAGUCUCAUGCAAAAGAAUGAAACUGGGUCACCGUGUUAUACCAUAAACAAAAAUUAACUCCAAAUGAUGAACGACUUGAAUGUAAGACCUGAAACCAUUAAACUUCCAGAAGAAAACAUACGCAGUAAGCUUUUUACAUUGGUCUUGGUGAUAAUUUUUUCAAUUUGAUACCAAAAGUGGAAGUAAACAAGUGCGACCACAUCUAACUAAAAUGAUUCUGCACAGCAGAGGAAACCAACACAAUGAAGACAGCCUACUGAAUGAGGAAAAAAAAAAAUCUUCAAAUUAUUUAUCUUAUGCAAAUAUAUAUGCAAAGUAUGUGUAAAGAAUUUGUACAAUUCAAUAACAAACAAGAAAUCUAUUUAAAAAUAGGCAGAGCAUCUAAACAGACAAUUUUUCCAGAGUAAAAAUAUAGAUGUCCAACCGGUACCUGAAAAGAUGUUCAACAUCACUAAUCAUCAGGAAAAUAAAAAUCAAAGCAAUGAUGAAAUAUCACCUUAUUAUAUCUGUUAGAAUGGGUAUUAUAAAAAAGGUAUGAAAUACCAGGUACUGGCAAGGAUGUGAGGAAAAAGAAUCUUUGUGCACUGUUUGUGAGAAUGUAAAUUGGUACAGCCACUAGGGCAAACAGGAUGGAUAUUCCUCCAGAAUAUAAACAGAACUACCAUAUAAUUCAACAAUUUUACUUCUGGGUAUUUAUCCCAAGAAAAUAAAGAUAGUAUCAAAAAGAUAUCUGCACUCCCAGUUCCGUGAAGCACAUUUAUCAUAGCCAAGAUAUGGAAGCGUCCUAAGUUCCCACUGAUGGAUGAGUGGAUAAAGAAAGCAUGAGUUUGUUUAGAUGGAUAGAUAGAUAAACAUACAUACACUGGAAUAUUAUUCAGCCUUAAAUGGAAAAUCUUGCCAUUUGCAGCAACAACAUGGAUGGAUUCUAGGACAUUAUGCUCAGUGAAAUAAGUCAGGAAGACAAAAACCACAUGAUCUCACUUACAUAUACAAUUAAAGAAAACCCUACAAAACAAGAAACAAACCAAGCUUAUAGACACAGAGAACGGAUUGGUGGUUGCAAGAGGUGGGAAUGUGGGGUGAGUGAAAUGGGUGAAGAAGAUCAAAACGCACCAACUUCCAGUCGUGGGCUGUAAUGUACAGUAUGGUGACUCUGGUUAAUACUGUAUUGCAUAUUUGAAAGUUCUAAAAGAGUAAAUCUUGUAAGUUCUCAUCACAAGAAAAAUUUUGUAACUGUAACAUGAUGA